CGCUGAAUGGGGUGGUUUUGGCUUUAGCUCGAACGAUGAACAACGACGACGACUACGGCGACGAUUGACUACGAUACUGAGCUCCUACCUAGCUCAGCCCGAGAUUGGCGGCGCUCUUUGGUCCCAGUUCUAUUCGGUCAGCCAGCACUCGCAGUCUGUCGCGCGGAAACUUCUCUCUAACUACGCUGCUGCACUAGGAGGGUUAGGUGUGGACUCCGUCAGGUCCGCCGUUCUUGUGUGUGAGGUCGACGGUGUGUGUGGUGUGACGGUGUCGCGUGCGAUUCAUCAUCAUCCCCAGGGCAGCGAAGAGUGUACGGCGAGGGCGACUCCUUGCAGAACCUUUGCGCUGCUGGAGAGAAGGGUCUCAACGGUGAAGCAGCAGCCAGCAACGCAACGGUGGCCCUGAGUUUGUGUUCUUUCGGUAUCAGCAGCACUUCAAAUGAACGAUAAAUUUCAGCCAAAUUACGAACAUGGAAUUACUGUGCACAAGAAGGUGUUUCAAACUGCGCCAGAAAUGUAAUUAAUGUUGCAAUUCGCUAGUGUUCCAACCUCGAUACCCCAUCAGCUGGGUGUCCACCGUGACAUCGCUCGCUCCGUGUAUACUCGUUAGCAAUAAUAUGCGCCGAAUGCGUUUAAAUAUUAGCCUACGCCAAAACAGCAAAAUAGAGCAAAAGUGAAGCAAAAGUCGAAAAGUCGUGGUUGUGAAUAUUUGGUAGAAAAUAAGUUAACCACGUCCGCGUGCGUGCGUGCGUACGUGUGUGUAUGUUUCCAAUGUGGUGUUCGUCCAUUAAUUAGCGAGUUCGGUUCUAAUUAGAGUGUUCAACGUACUGGUGGUCGGCAACGCAGGUCCUUCCUGCUCCCGGCAGGUUGUGCGUGCAAGCGAACGAGAAGAGGCGCAUCCGAUCACAGUGCGCGCGCCCAUUGUAUGAUGAAUCCUUCCAAUGAUGACCUACCGAAAUACAUGUACUCAGCGGCGGCGGCAGCAGUUUCCUCUACCUUCGCACUGGCCAGUGGCAGUAGCAGCAGCAGUAGUAGUAGUUCGGGAGGGGCACACGGCAGCCAGGAGGGCCUGGCUUCCUUCGGCAGUAACUCGACCGGUGGUGCUUCGCUGUUCUUCAAUGGCAACGGUUCGGCACUGGCAUCGGCGGCGGCUAAAGCGGCCGGGUCUUCGACCCUUUUCGGGGUCGGAGCGAGUGGGGUUUCGGGACACGCGGGGGAUUCUGGUGGACCGGGUGACCCAACGGGGAAUCACGUAAUCUUCCAGGGUUACAGUACCAGUUCGCCGACUUCGUUGGAUAUGACGACCGUCGUCGGAACGGAAGGAGUUAUGGAUGACUGCUGUGGUGCGGCCGCAGCUGCAGCCAGUGGCGAAUGGCUGGACGUGCUACUGCUGGUGCUGAAGGCAUCGAUCAUGAUGUUCAUCAUCGUGGCGGCCAUUUUCGGAAACCUGCUCGUCAUCAUAUCGGUUAAGCGACAUAGGAAGUUAAGAGUUAUAACAAAUUAUUUUGUGGUAUCGUUGGCCAUGGCAGACAUCAUGGUCGCGAUGAUGGCCAUGACAUUUAAUUUCAGUGUACAAAUUACGGGAAGUUGGAAAUUUGGAUCCUUCAUGUGUGACGUGUGGAACAGUUUGGAUGUGUACUUUUCGACCGCCAGCAUACUGCAUCUGUGCUGUAUUUCGGUGGAUAGGUAUUAUGCGAUAGUAAAACCACUUAAGUAUCCCAUAAACAUGACGAAACGAGUCGUGGCCAUAAUGUUACUCAAUACCUGGAUAUCACCAGCACUGUUGUCAUUCGUGCCGAUCUUCGCCGGUUGGUACACCACCGACAAGCACAAGGAGGACGUGCUGAAUAACCCGGACAACUGUUUGUUCAUCGUGAACAAACCGUACGCCGUCAUCUCCAGUUCGAUUUCGUUCUUCAUCCCCUGCACGAUCAUGGUGUUCACCUACUUCCAGAUAUUCCGCGAGGCCAACCGGCAGGAGAAACAGUUGGCCAUGCGCCAAGGGACUGCCAUGCUGAUGCACCAGCACAACGCCGGUGGAGGAGGAGGCGGCGGUGGCGGUGGUGGAGGGGGAUCCGGUAGUGCCGGAGGUCGAACCAAUGGCGAAGCCCUCAGCGGAUCCGGCUCGUCCCGGACGCUCACCAUGCACGAGGUGGACGCCGAACAGACGCCCACCAAGGAUCGACAUCUGAUCAAAAUGAAACGAGAACAUAAGGCUGCACGGACGCUCGGAAUCAUCAUGGGGACCUUCAUCCUCUGCUGGCUUCCGUUUUUUCUAUGGUACAUCAUCACGUCGCUCUGCGACGAGUGUCCCAAUCCGGACAUCGUGGUGGUCCUAGUCUUCUGGGUCGGCUACUUCAACUCGACGUUGAACCCGCUGAUCUACGCCUACUUCAACCGGGACUUCCGGGAAGCGUUCCGGAACACGCUGGACUGCAUGUUCUGCGCGUGGUGGCGCCGGGAAACGUCCCCGCUGGACAUCAACGUGCGGAGGUCCAGCCUGCGGUACGACUGCCGGGCGCGGAGCGUCUACUCGGAGAACUACCUCCGGUCGACGACGCAGAACGACCGGCUCAACAGUGAAAUCGGCGAGAGUCUCUAAUGUCUUCUGCCAGCAUCGUCCGGGACGUCUCGGGACACCAUCAUCGGCACCGCAACGCAUCCAAGCCAUUCGCCGCGACAGGAGUGCAGUGCGGUUUAAAGAGGGGUGCUGUUGCGCAGGGUUGGUGCGGUGGAGACGUCUUCGGAUCGGUGAGGGCCAAGGCUGAAAAAUACCAAAAAGUAGAUCAAUACACGAAACUAGGAAAUCCCUCUCGGAUUUUUCCUAAAUAUUCAGGUGAGUCAUUUUUUUAAGGAUUUCUACAAAGAUUCCUCCGUAAAUAUCUUCCUCUUGAGAUUUUUUUUCGAAGAUUUCUCUAGAAUUUCGAAUUUCACUCAUGUAUUCUUUUACAGUUAUCUAAAAAAAAAUCAUGAGAUCCAUUCGGAAAAAAAUCUUCAGGCAUCUUUUUAGAAAAGUCUUCUAUGAAUUUUUUCACCAAUUUAUCCUGUGAUGCUCUCAAACAUUCGUCCAAUUUCCUCAGAGAUGCGGCUGUAUAAUUCUUCAGCAGUUUUGCAACGGCUUCCGACCGAAGAUCCUUGAGAUUCCUCUAGAUUUUUAGGUUUUUUUUUAAAGAAAUUUUCCUGAAUUUUCAAAGAACUCUUCUCAAAAUUAGUUCAGAUCAGAGACUGUUCCAGAAGGCCAUUUGGAUAUUCAGACAUAUAAUACAAAUACUUAAGAGAUACAAACAGUCAGGAAUGCUUCUAGCAGAAUUUCUGAAAAUCUUCAAAAACUGCCUUCUAAUAUUUGGAAUUUUCUUCGAAGAAUUCCUUUAGAAUAUUCCCCAAGAAUUCCUUCUCAGACAUUUUUCAAUCUUCCAAAGUUUUUUUUUAAUUUAAUUCAUGGAUUGCUUUAGAAACUCUCCAAGGAUUUCUUAAACAAUCCACUAGGAAAAAAAAUUACACAGAUUCUAAUUAAGAAAAUGUAUGGAUUAACUCAGAACUCCAACGUAAAUUUUCUUUAGAUACUUUCUCAAAGUAUUCCUUCAAAGAAAUCUUCAAUAUGAUUUGCAAAUUUACCCAGGCAGGCAGGCUCAGUGGCGUAGCAAGGGGGGGGCGGAGGGUGCGGUCCGCACCGGGCCCCCGAAUUCAGGGGGCCUCCAAAUCAGGGAAGGUUUCUUACACUAGUUUGAAUAAAGUUCUUUAAAUAGCGAAAGUUUCCUAUACGUAUAUGUUCAAUACUUUGCAGGUCUGCUGAUAGUUAUGAAGGGGCCCCUUCGUAAUUAUCAAGGGUUUUUGGAAUGGGACACACAGAUGGCUUAUUUGAAAUCCACUUAUUAACAAUUGUGGAUAACACCAUUUAUUCAAGAAGUUUAGUUAAUUUACUUUCAACUAGUUUGAUAAUUACUCUUUGUACCUACAGGGGCCUCGAAAUUACAGGAAAAAAUAUGUUUGAAAUCAAAAUUGAUUUUCACGAAAUUCAGUACCGAUAUGGAAGUAAAAUCCAUGAGAAUUGUGUAAACCUCCCUUAUAAACAGGACCAAACACAGGACUUUUGACUUAGAUUGAAUUUAGCAGCUGAAAUUCAGGGGCCCCAUUUAUGAAAAUUACAAGUUACAUGUAAUGUUACGUCAAAACCGUAAUACUAAUAGUUUGUCGAUUUUUUGCUGCCUGCUCAGCGUAUUCCAAGUAUUCCUUGAAGGGUUUCUGCGUGAAUUACUCCGGGCAAGGUAAAUUCACCUUGCCUACGGGAUAUGUUUAACGAUUUAUCUAACAGUUACUUCAAAGAUGUCUACAAAAAAUCUCUAAGAAUUACUUCAGAACUUUAUUUAGAGAUUGCUUCAGAAAUUCUUCCAAGCAUUGAUUUAAGAAUAUUUACAAUGAUUCCUUAAGGAUCACUUCAAAGCAUUUCUUCGUGAUUUUUUUUCAGAAAUUUUUCAAGGAAUCCUUCAGGAAUUCUUUUGAGUUUUUUAGGAAUUUCUUCAAGCAUUCCUUUAGGAAUACCUCUUCGGAUUCCUUGAUAAAGUCCUUCAAGGAUUAUGUCAAGAAGUCCUCCAACGAGUCCUUUAGAUGAAUCUUAAGGAAUUUCUCUAUGGAUUCUUUUAGAGAUUUCUCCAAGAAGGAAUCUUGCUGGAGCUCCCCAUGGAAAUUUUUUUGAUGAAUUUCUGAGAUUAUGCUUGGAGCCAUACCUGAAUGGAUCCUUGGGUGGUUUUCUAUCGGAAUUUUGAAAGAAUUUCUAAAGGAGACCUUGAAGAAUCUUAUUUAUAAGAUGUAUUCAGGAAUAAUCAUUGGGUUGCUUGUGGAGGUAUCUUCGAUAAGAUUUUUGAAGAUUUUUCAGUGCUAUGCAGUAGUACAAGAAGUGCUAGAAGUAUUAUGAGAAAUUGCUUAAAAGAUUCCUGAAGAAAUCUUUAAACCAAAGGGAUUUUUGGUAGAAUAAAUUAUGAAAUGCCUAGAUUUUCUCUCAAAGAAAUCAAUGGCUGAAACCCCAAAAUAUUCAACUCGAAAUAUUUGAUUCAAUAAAACAAUCUUCAAAAGAUUUCUUAUAGACUUCCGUGCAUAAAUUUCUGUAAGACCCCCGAGCAAUUUUUUGCAAGAAUCUUUUGGAGAUGAAUGUGUUCAUCCUUGUAAGAUUACACUAGUUUACAGCAUUUUUGAACUCGGUAAGCUGAUGAUCGUUUUUGGUGUAGAAUCAUGCCCUGAGUUCGAAAACGCGAAGGAAAAAAAUUACAGUAGAGCGGAAAUUUUUUCGACUUUCCAUACAAGGUUGAUGAUUUGAAAUCGAUUUUUGUUCUAUUUUUAAGCAAAGUCGCUCACUUCAAACAUCUCAUUCUCCGUAAUCAAUGCUCCAAUUGAGCUGAAAUUUUUACUGUAACUUGCCUACAUAUGAUAUGUCAAAUAAACGUCAAGAAAGAAUUUUUAAGCUGUUUUUUUCUUAUUGAAAAAAAUACAUUUCAUCAAAAUUUUUUGGGAAUUUUGCUAAAAUUUAAGAAGAUCGUCCCUAAAACCCGCCAAUAUCUUGAAUUUCAUCAAUCUGACGCAAAACCUGUAUUCAGAUGAUCGAAUGGUAUUGUAUUCAGCUUUUAAUUAAUGGAAAAAGAUUUAAAAUUGGUUGAACAAAACGCAAUAUAUUUGAAUUUUAGUAAAUUACAUAUUUUGAAAAGUUGCAAAACUCGAUAUUGAGCUAAAACUCAAAAACUGUUCUACUUAAAAUUUUUUGAAGGUCGGUUUCGAAAUCAGCACUAAAUAGUGCUUCAAAAAUUUUGGUCGUUGACAGAAGUUCACGACUUUCGUUUUAUUUUGUAAACUUGUGUUAUCUGAAUUAAAAUUUGAAAAUCUGAGAAAUCCCUAAAGGAGAAAAAGAAUAAAUCCUUACUGGAAUUACUUGAAGGAUUCUUUAACGAAUUGUAUACGAGGAUAUGAAAAAAGUUGCGCAAGGAAUCUGUGAAUCAUUUCCUACAUAAAUUAUUGGAAGGAUUUCUGAAGAACUAAAGAAAUGCUUAAACUAAUUUGUAAGAAUUCAUUGAAAGGACAUCAAGAAAACAAUGCAAAAAGAACCCUUUAAGAAAUUUCUUUGAAAAAUAGUCUUGAAAUAAUUUCUAAAGAAUUCCUCUGGGAAAGCGCUUACGCCUAAGAGACUCUUUAUGGAAUUUUUGCGAAUACAUGUUACUAAAGAAAUUCCUACAGAAACGCUUGGAGGAGUUUCCGAAGCAAUCGAUGUAGCAACUUUCGAAGAAAAUCUUGAAGGAAUUUGAAAAGAAGUUCUUGAAGAAAUUCCUAGAUGAAUCGUAAAAUAUAUCCAAAAAGAAGUUCCUCAUUUGACACAAAUGCUUGAUGAAAUCGUUAGAAAAAUUUCUUAGAAGUUUCGCCAAGGAAAUCGGGACGAAAUAGGUGUUAUCGCUAAAGAGAUCUUAAAAGGUAUCAAUAGAAACAUUCCAGACGAAAACCUUGAAAGAAUACUUAAAGGAUUCAUUCAAGGAAUUCCAGUAGGAAUUUCUGUUAGAACUCUUGAAACAAUUAUAACAUUUUUUUAUUUGAAUGUCAGAAGUAUUUCUUCGGAAAUUUCUUUUGGAUAUUUUACAGUGAUUACUUUGGAAAUUCAACAAUUCUGUAAGGAAUAUCUUUAAAAAUUUAUUUGGAAAUCCUUUCGGUAGUUACUUUGAAAAUUUCCUUCGGAAAUUUCUUAAGCAUUUUUUUUAAAUUUCAUUAUAUUUGAAAAUUUUCUUUGACAAUUCUUGUGGAAAUUGUCACAGCUAAUUUAAAAUUGAGUUCGCAAUUCCUUUGAUAGUUUUUUUCCAAGGAACUCCGUCAGAAGAUGAUGAUGAACCUGGGCUUGAUAGUGUAAUACCUGUAAGUAAAAAGAAAAUCGGGUUAAGUACUGUUCCUUUCAGUUCCACUAAGAAAUUGCAUCCUUUGACAGAUACGUAUUUUGACCUCAACUGUAAGGUCGUCUUCAGUGUUGCGUACUUGUCAAGAUACGUCACCUUGUCGAGUCAAGUGCACUACACUGAAGACGACCUUACAGUUGAGGUCGAAAUACGUAUCUGUCAAAGGAUGCAAUUUCUUAGUGAAACUGAAAGGAACAGUAUCAGGUAUCAGGUAUCAGAAGGCCGGCUCCAGAGGCACGUUAUCCUCCAUUUGGGACAUUUGUGCCAUCGCCAUACAUAUAAGCCUAUUUCAUCAUUUACCUGAGGGAGAAUGGGACAAGGGAUGGAAUAGGAUUAGGAAAGGGAAAGGUGAUGAAAUAGGAAGGGGUACCCUAGAAGAGGGAAUGAACGCAUAAGCGCAAUGGGAGCUCAUAGCCCAUACCACAAUGGGUUUAUUCAGUGCCCUGAAAAGGACGCUGUAAAACGCAUAAGCGUAAAGAGAGCCUAUAGCUCAAUGGAGGUAGCUUGUGACGUCAUGCGACUUUCAAUACGACAUUGAAAGGCACGUCAUCCAAAGCAUCCUCAAUAUUGACCAGUCCAAAUUCCUGUGUGGUAGCGGUUUGUGUUCAGAUUUCCCGUGUUAAUCUAUCUGUAAGAACUUUGUAAACAUCUUUUGUUCUCACGUAUAUGGAUAGGCUUGCAUUAGGUUUCGUGAGACAUUUUUUGGACAACUCAAUUCAAGAAAUUACCGCAAAACCUGCGUUUGAGCGAGUACUUUCUUGAAAACAUAUACAACUUUUUGUAAAAGAGUCACUGUGGACAUCCCAAAUUGGGACGCAUGUGAGUUCACAUGAGUAGGUACGUCAGCCAGACGAACAUCACUGAUGUGAAAAGCGACAAUGCGUUUCAAUCUGAAACUCAUUCCAUCUUUAUUCAACGCAAGCACCCUUUCGGGAUAAAACUACAGAGUAAUUUCACGCCAUGAAAAUACCCCAUAGAAAACUACAAGAGUUCAAAACAUGUUUGAAAUACUCAAAUCCCUCUGCAGAAAAUAGGACAAAACCCCAUUUGCUCCUGGAGAUUUGAAUUAAGCAGAGCUUUUUAGGGCCCACUAAGUCGAUUAUAUAGCUAUAAUUCUCAAGCGGAAGCUGACGAAUUUCGCACCAACUCGUCUUCGGGGUUGGCAGCACCCCCUCAGAAUGUUAUGAAAUUUUGUAGGUUUCAAGACUUUACCUUUUCAAGCAACUUUGCAUAUUUUGUUUUUUCAAAAUUAACCUGGACUAACAUUUAAAAAGAGUCAAAGUUUUCUAACCGUUUUUUUUUCACAAAAAAAUAACUCGAAUAUGAUAAGAUGUACAAAAAAGUGAUGUAUGGGGGACAUUUAGAGAAUUGUACAAGCUUUCAUGAAAAAAUAUUUUAAAAAUUUUAAAUACAUUUUUACACGUUAAAAAAUAUAUUUUUAAAAUUAAAAGUCAAUUUACAGAAAAUGCCCACUUUUUUAUGUUUUGAAAUUUUUUUCCAAGAAAGUCAAUAUUGUUGCCUAACUUUCCUCCAUACAUCACAAGAUGGGCACUUUUAAGGAAAAAAAGUUUUUUUUAACAAAAACUUUUUCAUGUUAGUUUUUUUAGCGUGUUGCGCAUUAGCCGUUUUUUUACAAAAAAUAUAACUCGAAUAUGAUAAGUUGUACAAAAAAGUGAUGUAUGGGGGACUUUUAGGGAAUUGUCCAAGCUUUCAAGAAAACAUAUUUAAAAAAUAUAAAAAAAAUGUUUUACACGCUAAAAAAUAUCUUUUCAAAAUUAAAAGUCAAUUUACAGAAAAAGCCCACUUUUUUAUGUUUUGAAUUUUUUUUCCAAGAUAGACAAUAUAGUUGCCUAACUUUCCUCCAUACAUCACAAGAUGGGCAUUUUUAAGAAAAAAUUUUUUUCUAAAAAAACUUUUUCAUUUUAUUUUUUUUUGCGUGUUGUGCAUUAACUCGUACAGUAAUGUAUCCAGAAUCCUAAUGACAAUCCAUUAAAACUUAAUGGGCUCAACUACUUUUUUAAUAUCUUAACGUGCUUGACAUUGAAUACGUGCUUGAUAUUGGAAAGGGCUCAAGACAAAUUUGCUUUUAGGGUUUUAUAUCAAUGAAAACGCUUGUGUAUUGAUGAAAUAUGUACAUAUGUAUAUGUGUAUUCAAUUAUUUUCUUUUCUACAAUAUAUACAUCCUUCUUUUAUACAUUCUAUUGUAACGUUUUUUGAAUAUUAGAUCUUUAGUCUAUUUGAAACAAAGUAAACUUUUUUGGAUUAUUUUUUGAAUUCGAAAACUUCUUCGCUUCAAUUUGAUUUUCUGAAAUUGGCACAAAUGAAUGAAAUUUUUGUGUACCAGGUAUUGUUUUUACGUGACUGUAUGUGUAUAGUUCUUCAAGUUCAUCCGUCAUUUUUGCAUAUUGUUCAUUUGAAAUAAAGCAGAAAUUCAAUUUUGUUAUAUGUAUAUCUGACUGUUUAAUUGCCCAGUCAUACAGUUCUCGAGGAGUUGUGAUUGUGUUUCCAUAAUCUCGAGCAAGACUUGCUCGUUUUGCCAUUCGCUUGAGAGUACCUCCAACAGCGUCACAUGGACCUUUGCCAUGUGAAGUUGCGAAGAAGUGCCAUUCUGCUUCCAAUCCAUAAUUGGACCGAAAACUGCACAAACUGGCAAAAUUUUUUUUGUUCUUAUAAUGAGCUGCUGCUCCAUCUGACAUGAAAGUAAUUUUUGAGAAAUCAAUCGAUUGUUUAAUGAAAUCCAGCAGUUUUGAUAUAAAUAACUGAACUGCUGUUGUAUCGUGUGUAAGUACUUCAGAUAUUAUUAUAAAGCUCAAGUUUUCCAACUUAUUUUCUUUUCUGUAGUACACUUCAAACGGGUGAAUGGUAGCUUGAGAAUUAUUCCAAUGGUAACCUUGAGCUGAAUUUUGAAUGAUAAAUGAAUAAUUUUCUGAAAAGUCACAAAUUGUUAAUACUUCACCCUGUUUAAGAGAUUCUUUUUUAUCCCGCAAAAAUGAGGAUUGUUCUUUAUAAAUGAAAUCAUGAGUUAUAAGCUUAUCAACUUUUUCUACAAAAUACGGAACAAACUCGUCUAUAGUCUUAGUAAUAGUUUCCAAAUUACAUCGAUCAGUGGUUAGCCAUUGUGGAAAUAAAACCGAUUCUUUAUCAUUCGCUUCUAAUAAUGAUGUUAGUUCACUGGUUCUAGGCACACAAUAAUACAAUUUCAGCAAACAGAAUGCUGUUUUAAGCAUUCAGAUAUCAAAACAAGCUGAGAAACAAGUUCUAUUCCAGUUGGGAUGUAACGCCAAGAAAAAGAAGGCACCCAAUCAAACAAAGUUGUAAUGCCCAUUGAGUGUUAUUAAAUGGGUAUAAGGAUUCUUGAUACAUCCUGUACGAGUUAAUGCGCAACACGCUAAAAAAAAUAACAUGAAAAAGUUUUUGUUAGAAAAACUUUUUUUCCUUAAAAGUGCCCGUCUUGUGAUGUAUGGAGGAAAGUUAGGCAACAAUAUUGACUUUCUUGGAAAAAAAUUUCAAAACAUAAAAAAGUGGGCAUUUUCUGUAAAUUGACUUUUAAUUUUAAAAAUAUAUUUUUUAGCGUGUAAAAAUGUAUUUUGAAUUUUUAAAAUAUUUUUUCAUGAAAGCUUGGACAAUUCUCUAAAUGUCCCCCAUACAGCACUUUUCUAUAGGUCUUGUCAUUUUUGAGUUACAUCGAUUUUAAAAAAUUCUUCGAAAAAAAGUUAGGCCCUCUUCAAAUGUUACUCUUGAAAAUUUUCGAAAAUUUAAGUAUGCAAAGUUGCUUAUAAAAACCUAGUAUUUAUGCCCACCAAGUCUCAUUCGAUUCUGAGAGGGUGUUGCCAACCACUGGUCGAGUUGGCGCGAAAUUCGUCAGCUAGAGAUUCGUAACCAUACAAAAGAAUGGUUUAUCCGAAGAUAUUUUGAACUCGAACAGAUCAGAGUUCCAUUCAGGAAUACCUCUUGCAGUCCGCACAGACCACAGAGGACAAGCUUCUUUCAAAGCAAUAGUUAUGGUACACCACAAUAAAGGGCGUUAUAGGUACAAAACCACAAUGAAACUCUCUUGGAGUAGCAAUGGAAGCGAGUUAUCCCCAAAAUGUGGUCGCAACCAAUUAGUACAGGUUUCCUAGUUCGUUGAGCAGGGACGCCUGAAUACGCAAAUUUUGCGAAGGAACACUCAAAAGUGCAAAGAAGGUCAAAUGGAGACUCCUCAUCUGACACAUGCCAAUCAGUCAACUCAUGACAAAUUCUGCUCAUGCAGAGAUUGGUUAGGUGCAAUUCUAUGUUAAGUUAUCCAUGAACUGUACUACCUAAGUAAACCAUCAAACUGAAGCAUCUCCAAUUAAUGUUUGAGCUACUUCAGAUGAUGUAAUCAUCGUAACAAUACUGCCAAAUAUCAACGAAAAAAUGCUGAAUACAAGAGCUUGCUUGAAGGCAUCCAUAAGGAAAGGUUGAAACAUACUGUUAACGUUAUUCUAAGAUAUAGCAUGCUCGAGGCACGACACUUCAUUUAUAAUGAAAGAAGCAAAACUGGGUUCACAAGGUAAUCUAUACAGAAGUUACCCUACGAAAAUGAACUUUUUGAAGUAGAGCCACUUGGGCCACGCACGCUUUUAACGGUGAAAAUUGAUCUGAGGUUUCCUAGCCGUAGCCACUACCCAAACUAGACUGGAUUACACUCUUCACAA